rnacentral:rRNA from 1 species
AUUGAACGCUGGCGGCAGGCCUAACACAUGCAAGUCGAGCGGAGCGGCGGACGGGUUAGUAAUGCCUAGGAAUCGGCCUGGUCGUGGGGGAGAACGUCCGGAAACGGACGCUAAUACCACAUCCUCUCAGAUGAGCCUAGGUCGGAUUAGCUAGUUGGUGGGGUAAAGGUCAACCAAGGCGACGAUCCGUAACUGGUCUGAGAGGAUGAUCAGUCACACUGGAACUGAGACACGGUCCAGACUCCUACGGGAGGCAGCAGUGGGGAAUAUUGGACAAUGGGCGAAAGCCUGAUCCAGCCAUGCCGCGUGUGUGAAGAAGGUCUUCGGAUUGUAAAGCACUUUAAGUUGGGAGGCGUUACCAACAGAAUAAGCACCGGCUAACUUCGUGCCAGCAGCCGCGGUAAUUC